GCACCCGGCGUGGGAGAUGCGGCGCCGGUCCGGCAAGGGACGGUGCCCGCCGCCGAAGGAGCAAGCCUUCCCCGGAAUCUCUCAGGCGCAAACGGACCGCGCAGGGUGC
rnacentral:ncRNA from 1 species